CCUACGGGUGGCAGCAGUGAGGAAUAUUGGGCAAUGGAGGCAACUCUGACCCAGCCAUGCCGCGUGAGUGAAGAAGGUUUUCGGAUUGUAAAGCUCUUUCGGAUGUGACGAUGAUGACGGUAGCAUCUAAAGAAGCCCCGGCUAACUUCGUGCCAGCAGCCGCGGUAAUACGAAGGGGGCAAGCGUUGUUCGGAAUUACUGGGCGUAAAGGGAGUGUAGGCGGUUUAGUAAGAUAGUGGUGAAAUCCCAGGGCUUAACUUUGGAAUUGCCAUUAUAACUAUUAGACUAGAAUUACAGAGAGGAUAGUGGAAUACCCAGUGUAGAGGUGAAAUUCGUAGAUAUUAGGAGGAACACCGGUGGCGAAGGCGGCCUGCUGGACUGUGACUGACGUUGAGGCCCGAAGGCGUGGGGAGCAAACAGGAUUAGAUACCCCAGUAGUC
rnacentral:rRNA from 1 species